rnacentral:tRNA from 1 species
GGGCCCGUAGCCUAGCCAGGAUAGGGCGUCGGCCUUCGGAGCCGAGGGUCCGGGGUUCAAAUCCCCGCGGGCCCGCCA